UAGUUCUGGCGUUCCACCGUCCUUUUCUGACACUUGAAAGAAUAUGGAUGUUGUGUGGGUGAGAUGGGUACUGGCUGCGUUUCUUGGCUGGAGCAAAGGUUUUACAUGGAUGGAGUUUCCUGACGGGGCAGAUGGUGUUGUUCUUUGUUGGUUAGCGUGUAUUUCUGUCUCUGGUUUGUCAAGUAUUUGAAUGUGGGUAUAAGUUGUUGGAAAUUUUGUAGUCGAAGAGACCGAUUAUUCCUUAUUUAUGAUGGUUAGCCUGCUAAUCAGAUGUAGGUCAUGGCUGGUCACCUAUUUUGCGAUGGAUCGAAACUGUAAAAGCCAUAUGAGAACCAAUGUGGCUAAAUUGAAUAUUUAUCUAAGCACUUGGUCCUUGGAUGUCGUUGGCAUCCUUUGCAUUGGUUUACAAUCCUCUAAUACAAGAAAAGAACAUGGAAGAUUAGUACCACUGUGCAAUGAAUAUCAUGAACCAAUGUUUCAAGACCAGUUAACGAGUUCCUGAUGUAAUGUAUUCCAUCUAUCUGUUUCUCACGCUCUUGCUGCUGUGAAGUAUUGCCUGAAAAGAAUAGGGAUGCGAUGCUGUCAACGAAUGUGUGUGGGUGUCCAUUUAAAAAAAAUGUUUGUGGGUGUCGUCGGUCUUGCUCGCUGGGUGGCGUGUAAUGUCAUAGUCCAGUGAUGGUCAUUUCCAUGCACGCAAGGCUGCGUCGACUUCUCUCUUCGUCGGAGCAGAUCAAAGCUCCCAGUGGGUGCUUUAUCUAGUUCUGCAAACUCCAGGGGAUGAAAUAGCCGGUUUCAAAGCUCAGGGGGCAAUGUGAUCGUUUCCUGAAACCUCAGGGCGGUUGUGUUGACUUCUUUCUGUGUCUUGUGGCGGCACUUCUCUACAGCUUAAUGAAUAACCAGAGCUGCUGAUGUGUUUCCUAGGAGAAAAAAAAAUACAUGCAUCUGACAAACAAAAUAAAAUAGCUCCACUGUUUUCUGUGAUAUAGUUACACAAACUGUCCGUGCGUUCGGCGCGAAAAGUCGAGUAAAAUUCUAUGGUCAUUCUUGUGCCUCUGACUCGAGUCUCACAUAUUACAGUGUAACUGGAAAGCGUCAUUUCUCAUUCACAAGAUGCAUAGCCAUUUCUUCUUCGGAAUGAAGGAACUAUUCGUCACUAUGAAUUUCACUCAGCAGCGAAAAAUGCCAAAACAAGCCAGUGGAUCAGCUGUCAUCAGCGGAAGAGCCUUCCCCAGCCUUCUUCUCCUUCUGCUUCUCCCUCCGCUUCUUAUUUCUCAAUGCAGUUUUGCUCAUCUCUCCUCUGUUUCAUUUCCAAGGUUGGUGAGUUGCAUAGAGCCAAAAGUGACAUAAGAUAAAAACAAGAAAAUGCAGGCCGUGAUGAAGAAACUGACCCGGUAGGAGCAAGGCCACCGAAAAGCUGCGAUUCAACAAAAUAAUGUGGAAAGUCAGUAUAUGAUAUAAGAGCAAUGAGAGCUUUCUCACCCACUUGAACUACGAACAGAGAGUGCUGCAGGUAGUAUAACAUACAGAGUACAAAAUAAUAAUUAACUAAGUGUUUGGUUCCAGAUUGGUAAUGCAAACGCAAAUCUAACGUAAAUGGUAUGGGCAAAGAUCAUAUUUUGUUUGGCUACCUACGUUGUAACAUUAAUGAAUACUAGAGUUUGGUAUGUAUCAGCCGAGGACGACGUAACCACCAGCUGGAAGCAUGGUGUCCAGGUCCAAGCCGAGAAGGAAGGGACACAGGGAACACCAGUGUAGCACUGUAGCUUCCCUACCGCGCAUGGGGAGCGAGGAAGGAGGACACAUCGUUCGUGUCUUGGGGGAGAUGUCGAAUUGUAGCGAGGCCAACAGCUUGCAGCAGCGACGGUGGCUGCAAAGACAGCGACUGGUUGCGGCGGCGCCUGCAAUGACGGGUCGUCGACGGCUGGUGGCGGUGGCACCGCGACAGCGACGCUUUAACCAGCAUAAAUCGCAGAGAAGAAAGCGAGGGGGGACUAUAGCGGCUUUUCAUUACGGAUGAUUUCGACCGGUAACAAAUUUGUACUAGGCUUGUCUAAUACCGUGUUAUGGGAUUACAGAGCAACCAAAACAAACAAGAUCUGACGGUAUCCAUUAACGCUGUAAUCAGGUUACGAUACAAAAUCAUGAACCAGCAAACAGUAUUGUUUCAGUGAAAUGUCGUAGAAUGCGUAAUGUCAUUGCACAUGCUGGUAAUCUAACCUGACGGUAUCCAUUAACGCUGUAAUCAGGUUACGAUACAAAAUCAUGAACCAGCAAACAGUAUUAUUUCAGUGAAAUGUCGUAGAAUGCGUAAUGUCAUUGCACAUGCUGGUAAUCUAACCUGCGGGUGCAGGCAGCAAUGGUAUACUCUUUUCUAGUAUAUUAAAAAUACUCUGCAGGAAUAAACAAACAAAUGCCAAAUGUCGACUCGUUUCUCUAGGUAAUAAAUGAGUUGGUGGGACAUCUUCCCGCAAUAUAUAUGUGCUCUCAAAGACUAGGCUAUUACUGUUUGACCACAACAUUAUGCACAUGCAGUGUGCUGCAUUGCAGGACUUCAGGAGCGACCAGAAAUAGCUCAGUUCGAGAGGAAGGCGGAAACAGUUUGGGUUUUAUUAACCUGGCACCUAUUCAUUUACUGGUACACUUAGCAAGAUCGCUUUGAAGAAUGGAUUCAUCCUAGGAUGCCCAUCAUGAUUAUUCAUAUGAUUUUUUGGCAUCACAUUUUUUCUGUUCUUUCGACAUUCUAGUCCACAUAUCAAAGAUCCCAAUUCUUAUGAGGAAGUCUGCAAAGUGUGCUCAGACAGCACCGUACCCUUCGGUAUGUAUAAAGUGGCAAGCGAGCAAAUGAAGUCAAAAUUUGAUUCCCCACAAAAUGUCAAUAUUUGAUCAGCACAUGGUCAGUGAUGCGUAUAACAGAUGUGAUUCGUUCUAUAGUUUGUGAUAGCAAGCCCAGCAUUUCAGGAUAACUAGAAUUUGAUGUAUCUCUCAUAUUUACCUUGUCUUGAAGCGCUGCAGUGUGCUUUGAUUGAGGUGGACGGUAUGCUCCUGCAGGUUUUGCUGCCUUGCUUGAUGUUUGUGCCGAUUUAGAACCUUGUCCUGAAACUAGACAAGUCAAUAGGAGAAAAUAAUUUGUCCAGACUUGCUAGCAUGGAGCAUAAGAUAAUACUGGAACCUUGCUUCUUUGUUUCUUCAAUUUUUAAGCCAUUCAAAGAUAUCGUGAGCUCAGCAAUGUCAACAAAUCUUUCAGGAGAUUCUGGUUUCCAGUCAACCUGCACAAUUGAAAAGCAACAAUCAUGAGUGCAAUGUGAGGGCUUGCAUAUAUAUUUCUUCAACACGUUACUAAUUGUUUAGGACCAAUGGGGUACAGAUAACAGAGAAGUGGUUAUAUGCUGUCGACGUACCUGAUACAGUUUUUCAAAUUCCUUUAUAAACUGCAGAGAUCCAGUGUGGUCAAAUAUUUUUAUUCUGCACCAGGAAAUAUAAGAUAAUCAUGCAAGGAUCCUAAACCAUUUCCACUAGCAUGCUAAAGCUGCAGGAAAUGUACCUAUUAUCUAUUUGAAGCCUUGGAGCUGUUGUAGCAGUCAUAAAAUGGCGACCAUCAGGGGACCAUUCACUUAUGACAGACCAUUCAGCCUUUGCUUUCUGUAUCAACUUCUUUUCUGAAUAAUCCCAGAAAGCCUGGACAAAAAAUACCCUGUGAGCUAUGUGGCAACCACUUGAAGAAAUAUUAAAAGAUGCCCUUUUUUGCUUUAUAGUUUGUCCUAGAAAUAUUAAAAGAUGCCCUUUUUUGCUUUAUAGUUUGUCAUAGGUUCUCUUAAACCACAUAAGACUUCCCCAGUCAGAAUGUUCACUCAUUCUAACUGUUAAGGCUAUUGCCUACUACAAAUUUUAGCGGAAUGACAUACCAUAUCACCAGGCAAAUUACCAAAUCCAGCUAUAACAAUAACUGGUGAACAAACUUGGGUUAAGGAUAUCACCAAGCUAAACAUGAUUUUUUUCUUACACGAAAGAAAUAACAUUAAUAAUUUGCUAGACGCAUAUUGCUAUGCUAAUAACUAUACUAUAACAAAGGGUGUGUAUGCUAAAGCGAGCAUGAGCGUAGAACUCUAAUUCUACGCUCCGGCCGUAUCACGCGCCGUUCGGCCAGUACACACGGACCACCCACACACGCACCUAAUUUUCUUAAGGUAGUAAAAAUACGUGGCAGAUAUGGUAACUGAAUUAAUCGAUUACGGCUACACCCACUGGUUCCUCGUCUCGCUAGAAAAUUAGUACACAUAGUAAUGGGCCAUCCGAAAAAAAGUAACAGAAUUAAUUACGUUACAGGCUGCACACACAAGUUCCCGCUCGUCAUAGUAAUAGAUUAACUGUCAUUACUACUACUUGCAUCGGUUCAAUCUGCACCAUUUUUCUUUCUUAGUUGUUUGGUAGUAAAAUAAUUAGGUUAUGUAGUAAUCCGUCUAUCAUAGUAAUAGAAUCAAAACCAUUACCAUCUAGACCUUAUUUCUAGUAAAAAAAAACGAGAAUCUAGUAAAUAUAGUUGGAUCUAGUAGUAAUUCGUUGUGUCCUAACUAAAUAUCUUGUAUAGAGCGGAAAACACUAAAUAAAUUAUGAGCAAUCAAAUAAAAAAGGAAAAAUGUCCAUGGGCACUGAACCGGUGCAUAAGCAGUAACCCAAUUAAUGUUGUUACUAUUUCCCCCAUAGAUCAUUACUAUGUAGCUAAAUUAUAUGGUGGGACGGAGAACGUACAGAUGCAUCAGUAAUAAGAUUAAUUCUUUUACUAUACUUUCUUGUGAUUUUACUAUCCUCCACAAGAAAAAUAGGUGGUUAUGCUGAGUAGGACAUGUGACCCGCCCGUGCUCCUAUGGGUCGGAGCGCAUUAUAAUCGUAAUGCGCUCUAGCGCACUUUAGCAACCCUAUAUAUAUACACCCACUCGAACCAGAGAACACAGCACGACUGGCUGAUCAAAUCAUUGCAAGGAUACAUCGCCCUUUGGGGUUCCAUCUUAUCGUAUUAUAAGGGCCUUCACCAAGCUCAUGAAGAGGAUUGCAUUUUUUGUUGAAUAUUGUUGCUUUGGCAGGCAUAACUGAGUUUCAGUCAAGGAACACUUGUGCAGAAAACAGCAAGACAUUAAAUCUGAAAUAUUAUGGUUCAUGUAAGAGUAAGGAUACAUCCAUAGACCACAGCAAACUCUGAACCUGAAGAAGACCACUGAACAUCAUGCACUGGCCCCUCCUUUUCUGCAAAUUGCUGAUAGAAUUAGUGACCAGACUUUAAAAAAUAGCCUUGUGAAGAAUUUCAAAAACUAAGAACUUACUGAGAGGAACAAUUCCUUCAAAGGCCCUAUCAGUUGUCAAGUAGUGCAACUUGGUUUCACCGUAGUAACUCUGGUUGGUUUUAUCCACAUCAGCUUGGGAAACAAUAAGAAGUCCAGUAGACCCCUUGUUCCAGUGAAACUGAACAGUUGAACAGCGAAAAAAGCUCCUGCGGGCAACAACUUGGUUUUGUGCAUCCUUGUCACAAGAAAAGAUCUGAACACUGGCUGGAACACCCUACUUACAAGAAAAAAGGAAGGAGAAAGAUAGCAAAACCAUUGAGUUUGUGAAAUUAAUUCACUGUAGAAACACUGCAAAAGUCAAAAGCAAGUAAGUCAUACCUUUGCCUCUGGGACAAAUCCAGCAACAUGAGAUCCUGGAGCACUUGCUAGCUGCAAUGCAGCUAUGCCUGGUAAUCUUACCUUGUACACAAUCCCUUUAGUGAAAUCAUUUGUGUCAAAGAACUGCAUCUCGUUGGUCGCCAUCCGACAAGCGACUGACUCGUCCGCAGAAAAUUGAACCAUUGGCCUAUGAAUUUAAUCAACAUGUCAUGCACCAGUAAGCUUUAUGCAUCUCGUCACCCAUUCCAAACUAUGGCUAAAUUAAAUUAGCGGUCUUAGGUGUACAGUCCGUUUAGAUUACGUAGCACCCUAGAAACAAGAGUUAUGCAAAUUUUGAAGCAUCCAAGGCCUGACUAGUUGGAAUCAUUACCCCGGGUGUGAAUCAAUAUUUGUUGAACUACACUAGGUAUGGAUGUCUUAGAAGUUAAAACAAUAGCACCACAAAUCUAGGAUAGUCGUACCUAUUCAGUAGUGAUUUCAAACAUUACAAAGGGUGAUAGGAGAUAUUUAUGUGUAUAUGCAGCUUUGGAACAUUCAUAUACAUCUAUUGUAUUUUUAUCUCUAUCUCUCUCUCUAUAUAUAUAUAUUAUAUUAUAUUAUAUUAUAUUAUAUUAUAUUUACUUUUAUCUACUACUUAAAAAGAAUGUAAGGUUCCCGUUUCACUUUUCUUCCCACCACCCCUUCGUCCAACCUUCCCCGUAUAAUAAUGAAUCACCUUAAUUUACUUACCUUGUAAACCAAUUUCACUUUAAUUUACUUAUCAAAUUUCUAAUCAAAAUGUAAGGCAAAUCACGGGCAGAAUUUGAUGAACAUUUAUUUACAAAAUCACAUAUUAUGGGCAGGUAAAUCACUAAUGAUCAACAUAUAAGGUAAAUCACGGGUAGAAUUUGAUGAACAUUUAUUUACACAAUCGCAUAUUAUGGGAAGGUAAAUCACAAUUUAACGUACUAGAAUAUUUAUACCGCAUUGCAACACACGGGCAUUGUUCUAGUACUUUAAAAAGAACGUAAGGUUCCUGUUUCACCCUCUCUUUUGUCGAACCUCUCCUUCGUCCAACCUCACUAUAUAUGGUCUCACCUUCCCUUCUCCUGUUUGAUUUUGUUCCUCCCAUCUCUGAUUUUUCUCCCAAAUAGUAAUAUUCUUUGGCACGUCAACAAGUGCUUAACAAUAAGAUGGCAAUUUUCCUCUCAUAUCUGAUCUUUCUCCUAAAUAAUAUUUUCUUUGGUAAGUCAACAAAUUCUUACCAAAUAAGUGCUUAAUCUCAUCUACUACUAAAAUGUUUAGACUCCCGUUGCAACCCACGGGCAAUUAUUUAGCAAUGAAAUGCCUGCAAUGAACUAAAGGAUACAAUUGCAGAUGCACUUCACUCCAUCAUAUGAAGUGUUCAGCCUCACUAUUAAAAGUUGUACAUGUAUAAUUAAGCAUCCAGGUUCAUGAAUCAUAAUUUAAGCACCAAAGUUCUAGUAGCACGAACCAAUUGGCCUUAGACAAGUUCUUCUGGUAGUGCUGGUAGAGCGCCGUGGCGGUGUCAACGUGCCAGACCGUGACAUUUUUGACCUGCGGCGAAGACGACUUCUGGAAGGUCUGCAGGUACGAGCCAGUGGGCGAGAGCGCCGCGGAGGUGAGGCCUGGGAGGUCGAAGGACCUGAUGACGGAGAGCGAGCUGCAGUCGUAGACGGUAGCCGAGGCCGAGGCCACCGUCGCGAGGAGGCGGGAGCCGUCGCUGGAGAAGGACGUGGCGCUGCACGCCGUCUUGGGGAGCCUCUGCGGCGGGCUGGAACCAGGCGGGUAGGGAGGGCCGGGCCACACCGUGAAGCCGUCGGGCUCGCGCACUGCGGUUGGCCCCCAGUCGCGCGUUACGUCAGACGGGCGCAAGAUUAGGGGAAAGCACCGUGAGGGGAGGAGGCAGCGUACCUAGGAUGGCGAGGGAUGGCUGCUGCGAUGCCAUGGCCGACUGCGCGAGAAGGUCUCGGGGACCGGCGGAGAGAUCAGAAGCGGAGCUGCGGUGGAGGCGGCGGCGCGGCGAGGGGACUUUGCUGGAUGCGGGUGGUGCCUAUGCCAUGCCUUCCUCACUGACACAUGGGGCUCAUUAGUUUGUGGGCCUCAGUUUUUGUUAGGGCGUUGUGGGCCUUAGUUCGUAGCAACAGAAACGGAAGAAAAACGUCGGCGGGCCAAUAAACAGAUUGCGCUACAUUCCUGGGAAAUGGGGCGGCCCAUUCUGGCACGAGCGCUUUUUUUCUCUCAACAAAAAAACCGAGUUUCCCUCAAAAAACAAAGAAACGGUUUUCUUUUAAGGAGCUAAAUAAUUCAAAUCCCUAUUAGAAAACAAAAAAGCAUAUUUUUCAGUACAAUUUCUUUGAGAGGGUUCAGUAUAAUUUUUAAAAAAGUUCAGUAUAUAUUAAAAAUAUGGUCAACGUAUAUUAAAAAUGUUCAUCAUAUAUUAGAAAAAUCUUCAGUGUUUAUUAAAAAUGUUUAGUAAAUAUUAAAAAGAUUGGUGUGUAUUCAAAAAAUGCUCAUCAUAUGUUAAAGAAGUGUUCACAAUGUAUUAAAAAGAAAACACAGAAAGAAAACCAAACAAAAAAAUAUGAAACCGGAAAGAACAAACCAAAAAAAAGGCACAACAAAAAACUACAGCCAGCAAACAACAAACGCAAUGGCGCGACACGAACUAGACCCGUCCUACCACACUCGCCAAUGAGCGUUGGCUCCUCUAGUGGAUUUGGCAUCCUAGUGUGCGCGUAUGUUGGGGGAUGGAUAGCGACCAAACACGCAUCCCGCGCGGGAAUGGGCCGCCCGCCCGCCCAGCUCAGCUGUUAUGUGUCUUUUGUCAUCGAUUUUGGUGGAGUGACCCUGAUCCUAUAAUCAAUAGUUUUGUUUGAAAAGUUGAUCCAUCUUGAAGGUACCAUACAAGUCACAGUUAUCACGAGUCGAGGUGGAAAUAUAUGUUGAACCGAACGUACACAUAUUCAUUUGAUCCGACUGUUUUUCCUCCCGAUGAUUGUAUAGAAAAAGAAAGACCAAUAGAGUUAUUUUUAUACUCCCUCUAUCCCAAAAUUCUUGUCUUAGAUUUGUCUAGAGACGGAUGUAUCAAGUCAUGUUUUAGUAUUAGGCAUAUCCGUAUCUAGACAAAUCUAAGACAAAAAAUUUGGAACGGGGGGAGUAUAUUAUUAUGAUAACAUGCCCUGAGCUAUUGAAGCAAUCCACUUAGAAAGUGGGAACAUGUCUACCAUGCCAAAGGAACAGUUUAGUAACUUUCUUUUUCCAUCUCUUGUUACUGAUGUAUUUCUUACCUAUACAAAACAUAACAUAACAUAUGAAGUAUAGAGUAAUCACAGGAAACAAUAGAAUCAGCCAACCAUGUGAUUGGAGGGUGAUUGUGCCACUGAAAUAUAGCAACAGGUUAACCUUCCAGGGAUGCAAAAGAGAUUUCGCUCACAUGGACGUUAUACUUAGGCCCAAAAUAAUCGGCACACUUUAUUAUUCAUUUUUUUUGUACUAUCAGUUAUUCGGUUAAGAACUACAGGUAUGUGUGUUGCAGUAUAUUGCACAUCCUUCCCCUUCAGUGCUCCGAGCAGUUAUCAAACGGUCUGGUUUUGUUAAUUAACCAAAAAGUAGGUUAAAUAAACUAAAACAAUGGCUUAAUAUAUAUUUUUAUUAAAACGAAAAAAAAGCCAUGGCAUACAAAAUUACAUGCUGACCAUUGUGAAAGGUCUAGCUUACCUGCAGGGAGAUUUCUAUUCUGGGGAAUAUUCAUGAUAACGCGUUCUCAUUUUACCACUUGACAUGAGUGGUGAGCUAUCUCAAAAACAAUGAACGCGUUCUCAUUUUACUUUGUCUUUUGAGCGGCAGGUCAGUUUUGCACGUAAGCAAAACAGCCCGAAGCUGCUGCUCUGCCGGGGUGCACUUUUCCUUCCAUUCACAGGGACCGUUGUUCCUUUGGCUCGACAGUCUGAGACACUCCAUUUCCUUGGUCGAUCGAAUUCAGCCGCACACAACUAUCAAAUGACAAAAACACUUUACAUGGCUACCGUUAUCCAUCCAAAAUCCAAGUGGUUGUUUUCCCCUUUUCGAACAAGGAAAUCCAAGUGGCCUGGAUAGCCAUAGACAGACAUCUGCAACUUGCAACUAGUUGGGAUUUUCUCCAGUGUCGCCCUCUGUUCAUGAAUGCAUUGCAGAGAGGAAACGGACCGUCCCUUCAGUGCCAGCCACAAGCCCUGAUGGAACCAGCGACCCCAGAGGCAGCUCUGCUCUGAUUCAGAUCUCUAGCACAGUAGUAGUCUGUGAACCUGUCAGCUCAGCUAGCCUGUGUAUGGGUGAAUGGAGCACAGGGCUUCAGCGGUCGGCAGAUCCGGCCGUAAAUGCGGGCUCCUGACUCAGCACCGUACGGGACGUGCGGCUGGUGUUGCUUCUCAAAUGCCGUUUCUUUUACCUCGCUAAUACUGUUCGUUUGUAAGUUCUGCGGCAUCAUCUCUGAAUUGCACAGCCGUUUUUACCACAAGGGUAAAAAUAAGCACGGCGAUGGUGUGGCACCUUAGCAGCCGUGACUUUUGCCGAAUUAACAUAUCGGGAGAAGAUCCGCCCACUGGAUGAAAACACUCUUGUCUGAUGUGCUCACGAUUAUAUAAAGAACUAAUUCCCGAGAAAAGCGGGACCCUUUUCCAUGUCUGCCCAGUUGCGGCAUGAGCAAACAAACGCAAAGUUGCGGCCAAAAACUUUUCGGCUGUCAUAUUUGAUGAAAGAAAGAAAAACGAGAGUUUUCGGCGGCUACAAUAGAAGAGGGGCCCUGAAUAUUCAUGCGAGGAGGGCCGCUUCCGGGGAGUAUGAGACUAUGGGAGUGACAAUUGACUUUUGUACAUCCGUAUUAUUUUUGCUUGCCUUUUUCAAAAUCAUAGCUAAGAACAAUUCGAUUCAAACACCAAGAUUUUGUAUAACCAUAAGAGGAUUAAAAAAAAUCUUAACUGGAUCUACUAAAGUCAAAUGGAAAAUUCCCCAUCUCCAAGUCGACCAAAAAUGCUAGUCCAAACAUACAUAUGAUUGUCUUUUUGAACCCUGAACCAUACAAAAAUAGUUCUAUGGGUUUAUCUUUUUAUAAAUGAUAAACAUGUACAAAAAAUAUUACAAAGGGGGGCAAUCAGCCAGUGCCAGUUUUUGGAAAUAUAAGCAAACUAUAAGUGAUUAUCUGUCCCAUGACUAUAAUUUUUGUGCGUUUAAUAGUUUAGCUCUGAUAAUAGUAGCCGAGAGACCUUCCUUCAGCACCUGCAAAAAAAAACAC
rnacentral:lncRNA from 1 species